GAAAACAAUGAGUAAAGCAGCAUCAGGAGAACACAAAACAAGAAAGUGUAAGCCAGGGAAGUUGAGGAAAGCGAGCAGGCAGAUGAAUAUAACAGGGGUGGAAGGAUUGAUAGUACGAGCUUUUUCCCCUUUGAGGGUCGGGCAGACAGACUGGAAAAUGAUUUCAAUUUUGGCACAAAACUGCUCCUUGAUUACAAUUACCAUAAUUGAUGAGCUACCUUUGGAGUCCUGCCAAUAUUUCAAGCCCUUAUUGCAGCUUUGUGCACCAUUGUCUCCUUAUGAAUUU
rnacentral:misc_RNA from 1 species